UAGGCUUUAAAAUUAAGAAUGCAGAUUGUGGCUCCAUGAUAUGCUAGGUGCCAAAUUAGAUUAAAAAUAAAAUCCCCAAACCACACCCUGGGACCUUUGUGUGAAUGGAUGUUGUUAGGGGCCCUGUUGUCCCUAGGGUCCCACCACUCAAGGACAGGGACUGGUCACUGAGCCCUCUAUUUCCCAGACAAAAUACAGCACCUGGUACACAAUACACUUGGUACGCAAAUUCAAUGCAAUUGGAACAUCACAUGCAAUUGGAACAUCCAUGGUGGCCAGGCCACAUCCCUUGUAAUCAUAGAAACACAGAAAACCGGGCAGAAUCAUAGGGAUGGUCCAUCCAACAUUCCAUUCAGUGGGAUCCAACUCAAGAUAGAAUAAGUGUGGUAAGAGAGAUGUGGGAGACAGUUGUAGAAAUACACUGUGACUUGAAGCUGGAAUUCUUUGAUGCUCAAGUCAAGAGCCUUCUUGGCAAGAGAUCUGAUCAAGUUUUCACUCUGCAAGGAAAUGUCUUCCCAGCAUUCUGCCAGCACUUUUUCUGAAGGUGAGCUCAGGCCUUUAUAUCCCUCCCUUUGGCUCCCACAAUGCCAGUAACCAUGACAGGUGGCACCUGGCCAUGGCAAUGGUCUAAUUUUCUAGAAAAGCCAAUCUGGAAAGCUUACCAUGCUUAAAGGAGCACUGACAGAUAAGCAGCCUUCAGGAUGCCACUUCCUAAAAUCCAUCUCUAACGAGGCAUAGCUAACAAAAUGUGUAUGGUGAUUAUUUAUUCCGCCAGAGUCCCAGGGUGAUGGAAUCAGUUGCAUGUGAAAUUUGCUUUGACAAACCAUCCCUGGCUAUGUAAGUCCUCUGCUGUGCUCCAGACUGGGAGAUUCUGCUAUCGAUUGAAGCUUCUCAUCAACUCUUCCUGCAAGUGGCAAGAAAUAGAUUGAAGUCCUUGUCAGGCUUUCAGUCAUGCACUGUUUCCUGGGACUGCAGUUAGAAAAACAAGUCACCGAAUAGUGGGACACUUAAAGGGCUACAAGAUACAGGGCAAAAUGCCAUUGCUUCCCAGAUGAGAAGGCAGGCGCAGCUCCUUUGAGGAAUGUGUGGGGAGGCAUGGAUGUCAAAGUGCCAGUCGUAGUGAUUCCGGGGUCUCAGAGAACACUGUCAGAUCAGGGCUUUGUCUCUCAGCAUGUGUCCCAGUUUCUUCAGUUUCAAAAGCUGCCCAUUUUCUCUGAAUGGUGGCCCAGCACCUGGAGGGACAGAGUACAAAGGACUCUGGCAUGUUGAAUUCCUCAAGCAACCUGCUGGUA
rnacentral:lncRNA from 1 species